GCCCUGGUGGCACAGCAGUUAAGUGCUCAGCUGCUAACUGAAAGGUUGGUGGUUUGAACCCACCCAGCAGCU
rnacentral:tRNA from 1 species